rnacentral:lncRNA from 1 species
GCCUUGUUUAGUUCCGAAAAGUGAAAAGUUUUCGGUACUGUAGCACUUUCGUUUGUUUGUGACAAAUAUUAUCUAAUCAUGGACUAACUAGGAUCAAAAGAUUCGUCUCGUGAUUUACAGCUAAACUGUGUAAUUAGUUUUUAUUUUCGUCUAUAUUUAAUGUUUCAUGCGUGUGCCACAAGAUUCGAUGUGACGGAGAAUCUUGAAAACUUUUUG